GCCGGGGUGGCGGAAUUGGAAGACGCACCUGCCUUCUCAGCGGGCGGACCAAUGGUCCAGUGGGGGUUCGAAUCCCUCACCCGGCG
rnacentral:tRNA from 1 species